rnacentral:lncRNA from 1 species
UUAUCGAAAUCGUGGACAUGCAGAUACGGUGUUCGAUCCUUAAACUCGCCUUUGGAGUUCUUAUCGGCGACGCAGAAGUCUUGAAGAGGGCUAGGAUCAGAAGCCAUUGCGAGAGAGGAAGCCAUGGCAAGGAGAGCGAUGAGGAGGAUUUUGGCUGCCAUCUUUAGGAUGGAUGAAGCUACUAUUGGUGUUGUGAUACAAAUGCACGAAGGAGAUGGAUAUAUAGAGAGGGGGAGGGGGAGAGAGGCAGGGUUGAAACAUUCUUGAUCAUUUGGUAAGAGAGCUGAAUAGUAUGCCUUUUGCUUAAAAUAAUAAUGUCUAUGGACUGUGCGUGCUUCUUAUCUUGUGCAGAGAAAGAGUCUACCAAGAGGAGC